UCGUGUCGUGAGAUGUUGGUUAAGUCCCGCAACGAGCGCAACCCCUAUUGUUAGUUGCCAUCAUUCAGUUGGGCACUCUAGCGAGACUGCCGGUAAUAAACCGGAGGAAGGUGGGGAUGACGUCAAAUCAUCAUGCCCCUUAUGACCUGGGCUACACACGUGCUACAAUGGUUGGUACAACGAGUUGCGAGUCGGUGACGGCGAGCUAAUCUCUUAAAGCCAAUCUCAGUUCGGAUUGUAGGCUGCAACUCGCCUACAUGAAGUCGGAAUCGCUAGUAAUCGCGGAUCAGCACGCCGCGGUGAAUACGUUCCCGGGCCUU
rnacentral:rRNA from 1 species